rnacentral:rRNA from 1 species
AAGCGCUUGCAACCAGACUUGCUUGCGGUGUUCCGCCGGUCUUCUGACCGGUCCACUCACCGUCCGCAGGCCAGCAUCGUCUGGGGCCGCCGGAUAAAGACGCGAGGAAUGUGGCUCCCCUCGGGGAGUGUUAUAGCCACGCGUGCAAUACGGCGCGACCCGGGCGAGGUCCGCGCUUCGGCUAGGAUGCUGGCGUAAUGGUCGUAAGCGG